UACGUAGGUGACAAGCGUUGUCCGGAUUUACUGGGCGUAAAGAGCGCGCAGGCGGUCGUUCAAGUCGAGUGUGAAAGCCCCCGGCUCAACUGGGGAGGGUCAUUCGAUACUGAUCGACUCGAAGGCAGGAGAGGGUAGUGGAAUUCCCGGUGUAGUGGUGAAAUGCGUAGAUAUCGGAAGGAACAUCAGUGGCGAAAGCGGCUUCCUGGACCAGCACCGACGUUCAGGCACGAAAGCGUGGGGAGCAAACAGG
rnacentral:rRNA from 1 species